rnacentral:rRNA from 1 species
UACAGAGGGUGCGAGCGUUAAUCGGAAUUACUGGGCGUAAAGCGCGCGUAGGCGGCUUUGCAAGUCGGGUGUGAAAUCCCCAGGCUUAACCUGGGAACUGCAUUCGAGACUGCAUGGCUAGAGUAUGGGAGAGGGAAGUGGAAUUUCAGGUGUAGCGGUGAAAUGCGUAGAUAUCUGAAGGAACAUCAGUGGCGAAAGCGACUUCCUGGACCAAUACUGACGCUCAUGUGCGAAAGCGUGGGGAGCAAACAGG